UGGGGAAUUUUGGACAAUGGGCGAAAGCCUGAUCCAGCAAUGCCGCGUGUGUGAAGAAGGCCUUCGGGUUGUAAAGCACUUUUGUCCGGAAAGAAAUGGCUCUGGUUAAUACCUGGGGUCGAUGACGGUACCGGAAGAAUAAGGACCGGCUAACUACGUGCCAGCAGCCGCGGUAAUACGUAGGGUCCAAGCGUUAAUCGGAAUUACUGGGCGUAAAGCGUGCGCAGGCGGUUGUGCAAGACCGAUGUGAAAUCCCCGAGCUUAACUUGGGAAUUGCAUUGGUGACUGCACGGCUAGAGUGUGUCAGAGGGGGGUUAGAAUUCCACGUGUAGCAGUGAAAUGCGUAGAGACGUGGAGGAAUACCGAUGGCGAAGGCAGCCCCCUGGGAUAACACUGACGCUCAUGCACGAAAGCGUGGGGAGCAAACAGGAUUAGAUACCCUGGUAGUCCACGCCCUAAACGAUGUCAACUAGUUGUUGGGGAUUCAUUUCCUUAGUAACGUAGCUAACGCGUGAAGUUGGAUCCGCCUGGGAGUACGGUCGCAAGAUU
rnacentral:rRNA from 1 species